UACGUAGGGUCCAAGCGUUGUCCGGAUUUAUUGGGCGUAAAGAGCUCGUAGGCGGCUCGGUAAGUCGGAUGUGAAAACUCAGGGCUCAACCCGGAGACGCCAUCCGAUACUGCUGUGACUUGAGUCUGGUAGGGGAACACGGAAUACCUGGUGUAGCGGUGAAAUGCGCAGAUAUCAGGUGGAACACCGAUGGCGAAGGCAGUGUUCUGGGCCAGUACUGACGCUGAGGAGCGAAAGCGUGGGGAGCAAACAGG
rnacentral:rRNA from 1 species